GGACAUGGGAUAACGGAAGAGGGCGUCGGCUCGACUUCGUCGGUUCCUCGGGCCGAGGCACGUACGGUGAAUAGGGACGGUCGGGGCCGCCCGUACCGGGUCGUGAGAGGUGAAAUUCUAGGAUCGACCCCGAGACGAACCGCCGCGAAAGCAUUCGGCAAGGACGCUUUUCAUUAAUCAAGAACGAAAGUCGGGGGAUCGAAGACGAUCAGAUACCGUCGUAGUCCCGACCGUAAACGAUGCCGACCGAGGGGCCCCGGAGGAGUUACGUACGACCCUCCGGGCCCUCCCGCGAGAAAUCAGGAGUAUCGGGUUCCGGGGGGAGUAUGGUCGCAGGCCGAACUUAAAGGAAUUGACGGAAGGGCACCACCAGGAGUGGAAUCUGCGGCUUAAUUUGACCCAACGCGGGAAAACUCACCAGGUCAGGACACGGUAAGGA
rnacentral:rRNA from 1 species